UGGGGUAUAGCCAAGCGGUAAGGCAAUUGGUUUUGGUCCAAUCAUUCAGGGGUUCGAAUCCCUUUACCCCAUCCA
rnacentral:tRNA from 1 species